rnacentral:rRNA from 1 species
UACGAGGGGGCAAGCGUUGUUCGGAUUUAUUGGGCGUAAAGGGUGCGUAGGCGGUCUGGCAAGUCUUGUGUGAAAUCUUCGGGCUCAACCCGAGGUCUGCACAAGAAACUGCCGGGCUUGAGUAUGGGAGAGGUGAGUGGAAUUUCCGGUGUAGCGGUGAAAUGCGUAGAUAUCGGAAGGAACACCUGUGGCGAAAGCGGCUCACUGGACCUAACUGACGCUGAGGCACGAAAGCUAGGGGAGCAAACAGG